AAUCUGCUGCAGGCCUAACACAUGCAAGUCGAGCGCUCACUUCGGUGGGAGCGGCGGACGGGUUAGUAACGCGUGGGAACGUGCCCAGAUCUAAGGAAUAGCCACUGGAAACGGUGAGUAAUACCUUAUACGCCCUUCGGGGGAAAGAUUUAUCGGAUUUGGAUCGGCCCGCGUUAGAUUAGAUAGUUGGUGGGGUAAUGGCCUACCAAGUCUACGAUCUAUAGCUGGUUUUAGAGGAUGAUCAGCAACACUGGGACUGAGACACGGCCCAGACUCCUACGGGAGGCAGCAGUGGGGAAUCUUGGACAAUGGGGGCAACCCUGAUCCAGCCAUGCCGCGUGAGUGAUGAAGGCCUUAGGGUCGUAAAGCUCUUUCGCCAGGGAUGAUAAUGACAGUACCUGGUAAAGAAACCCCGGCUAACUCCGUGCCAGCAGCCGCGGUAAUACGGAGGGGGUUAGCGUUGUUCGGAAUUACUGGGCGUAAAGCGCGCGUAGGCGGAUUGGAAAGUUGGGGGUGAAAUCCCGGGGCUCAACCCCGGAACUGCCUCCAAAACUAUCAGUCUAGAGUUCGAGAGAGGUGAGUGGAAUUCCGAGUGUAGAGGUGAAAUUCGUAGAUAUUCGGAGGAACACCAGUGGCGAAGGCGGCUCACUGGCUCGAUACUGACGCUGAGGUGCGAAAGUGUGGGGAGCAAACAGGAUUAGAUACCCUGGUAGUCCACACCGUAAACGAUGAAUGCCAGUCGUCGGCAAGCAUGCUUGUCGGUGACACACCUAACGGAUUAAGCAUUCCGCCUGGGGAGUACGGUCGCAAGAUUAAAACUCAAAUGAAUUGACGGAAGGGCGAA
rnacentral:rRNA from 1 species